GGGACCCGCGGCGGGGCUGCGGCGGCGGCGGCGGCGGCGGCGGCGGCGGCGGCGGGAGGCUGCGCGGCGGGAGUCGGUCCCGAGGAAGCCAUUGCAGAUUUACUUAUGUGCCUUUCACCCGUGUACAUGCCCUACAUGUAUUCCUGGUGCUAGAGGAGGUCAGAAGAGGUUGUUGGAGUCCCUGGAACUGGAGUUGAGGUUGUUGGCUUCUCUGGAACUGGAGUUAUGGAUGGUAAUGAGCCACUGUGUGGGUGCAGGGAACUGAACCCAGGUCCUCUGCAGGAAGUAACCAAUGUUCUUAACUGCUGAGCCAAUUCUCCAGCCCUAGGCACGUAGUCAAUUAUUGAGCUAUGCCCCCAGCUCUCUCAUUACUUUUGAGACAGGGUCUCACUAAGUUGCUCAAUCUGGCCUUAAACUCACUUUGUAGCCCCAAAUGACCUAGAACAUGCCAUCCUCCUGCCUCAGUCUUUUGAAUAGCUGGGAUUAGAGGUGUGAGCGACUAGGCCUGGGCUUGAUCUCCAUCCUUGGCCCACCAUAGAUCAGUCUCUUCACAGCAGCUACAGUAGGGUGUUUAAUUAGUUUAUUUCAUGUUUGAAACACAUUUUUGUUUCUGUUCUCUGGCCUUUCUUUCCUGACAUGAGGCCCUGCUAUCUUGUGUAGGGUAAUCUUAAACUCCUGGGUUCAAAUGGUCCUCAUACCUGAGCUGCUCCAGUAGCUGGAUCUACAGGCAGGUACAUCCUGUCUGGUGAAAGUUUACUCUCUUUAUAAUAUGACAGUAACUGUGGUGCCGGGAGCCGAGCCUCGGGCCUCGGACCUGACAAGCAUCUCUCCACCACUGGUUACACUCCCCGCCCUCUGCUUUCUUUCCUCACUCACAAUACAAGUCAGGUCCUCUGUGCGGCAUGCCAGCUGCGUGUGUGUCCUCUGUGCAGCAUGCCAGCUGCGUGUGUGCCCUCUGUGCGGCAUGCCAGCUGCGUGUGUGUCCUCUGUGCGGCAUGCCAGCUGCGUGUAUGCCCUCUGUGCGGCAUGCCAGCUGCAUGUGUGCCCUCUGUGCGGCAUGCCAGCUGCGUGUGUGUCCUCUGUGCGGCAUGCCAGCUGCGUGUGUGUCCUCUGUGCGGCAUGCCAGCUGUGUGUCCUUUGUGGUGUUCUGCUUCUCCUCCACUCUUUCUCCCCCGUGGAACCAGGGCUCUUGUAGUCCUCAAAUACACCCCACUACCGCCGUUCUUACUAGUGUGGAAUACUCCUCAGUCACCCAACAGCUCCUUUCAAGCCCUUUCCUCCUGGCGUCUCCUGCCCCCUCACGAGAUGCCAGGGACCAUGCCUUAGAGCCGCCAGGAAAAGGCACUGGCAACCUCAGCUCAAUUCCCAAGACCCACAUGGAGGAGGAGAGAAGCAGUCCUCCAAAUUGUCCUGACCCACACACAUGCACAUAUUCCCCACCCCACUACACAUGCCCACACAAACCCAACAGAGCUAACAAUGCAUCUCCUGCCGUCUAGGCUGUACCCACAGAUUUCUGAAAUAGGUGGGGCUUCCAGCCUCUCAACUCCACUUUAAUCAAGACGGUUGUACUACACUGUCCUUUGGUCUUGAGACAGAGACUCACUGUGUGGCUAGGGCUGGUCUGAAGCUCACUGUAGACCAGACUGACCCAGAGCUCACAGAGAUCUGCCCGCCUCUGCCUCCCAAGUGCCGGGAUUAACAGUGCGUACCACCGGACCUAGUGCAGCCGCACUGUGUGUAAAAGAUGGCUGCGCUGCACAUCUGAUUGGCUGUUGGAGAUGGAGUCCUUUGUGUUGCCCGGGCUAGUCUCUUAACUCUUGGGCUCAAGCGAUCCUCCCACCGCAGCUCCUCAAUAGUCCAAACCUUAUGUGCACACCAUCACCCCCAGCUACAUUCGAUUUGAAAUAAUGCUCAGGGCUAGAGAGAGAGCUCCGAGGUUAAGAGCAUAUACUGCUCUUGCAGAGGACCUGAGUGCAGUUCCCAGCACCCAUAUUGGGUGGCUCACAGCCGCCUGUAACUCCAUCUGCAGGGGAUCUGAUGCCCCUGGCCUCCCAGCACUCACAGGCUCAUAUCCACACAAAUACCCAUAAUUAAAAAUGAAGUAAAAAAAAUUUUUUGGAAGGCAUUGUGUGUAUCCCUGCUGGUCUAGAACUCCAUGUACAGACCAGACUGGCCUCAAACUCACCAAGACCCACCUGCCUGUGCCUCCUGAGUGCUGGUAUUAAAGGUGAGCACCACUCCAGACGGCCAGACUCCAUAGACCCAGGGCGUUGUUCAUUCCUCAAUGUCAGAAAUGUCUCUUUUCCUCUAGAUCUAUAAUCCCAGCACUUAGGAGGCAGAGGCAGCAGGAGCUGGAGUUGAGCCUGAACCACAUAGGACCUGGUCUAAAACCCCGAAUUAAACACUGCUCUACGUU